rnacentral:rRNA from 1 species
ACGGGAGGCAGCAGUGGGGAAUAUUGCACAAUGGGCGCAAGCCUGAUGCAGCGACGCCGCGUGAGUGAUGAAGUAUUUCGGUAUGUAAAACUCUAUCAGCAGGGAAGAUAAUGACGGUACCUGACUAAGAAGCCCCGGCUAACUACGUGCCAGCAGCCGCGGUAAUACGUAGGGGGCAAGCGUUAUCCGGAUUUACUGGGUGUAAAGGGAGCGUAGACGGCAUGGCAAGUCUGAUGUGAAAACCCGGGGCUCAACCCCGGGACUGCAUUGGAAACUGUCAGGCUAGAGUGCAGGAGAGGUAAGUGGAAUUCCUAGUGUAGCGGUGAAAUGCGUAGAUAUUAGGAGGAACACCAGUGGCGAAGGCGGCUUACUGGACUGUAACUGACGUUGAGGCUCGAAAGCGUGGGGAGCAAACAGGAUUAGAUACCCUGGUA